rnacentral:rRNA from 1 species
GACAGAGGUCCCGAGCGUUAGGCGGAAUCACUGGGCUUAAAGCGUGUGUAGGCGGCGGCCUAAGUACCUUGUGAAAUCCCACGGCUCACCCGUGGAACUGCUCGGUAUACUGGGUCGCUUGAGCCACUUAGGGGCUACCGGAACAAAUGGUGGAGCGGUGAAAUGCGUAGAUAUCAUUUGGAACGCCAACGGUGAAAACAGGUAGCUGGGAGUGUGCUGACGCUGAGACACGAAAGCCAGGGGAGCAAACGGG